rnacentral:rRNA from 1 species
UUCCUGGUGUCAAUGGCGCGGUGGAACCACUCUGAUUCUAUCCCGAACUCAGGUGUGAAACGCUGUAGCGGCGACGAUAGUUGGUGGGUAGCUGCCUGCGACAAUAGCUCGAUGCCAGGA